rnacentral:misc_RNA from 1 species
AGGUUAGAUUCUUUUUAAGAAAUAUUAUUAUAUGCUUUCAAUUUUUUUUUUUUAACUUGCUGUUAAUAAACUGCUGCUUAUUGAAUUGUAUGGAUAGGAAAAUAAUGCAAGUUUCUGUGAAUUAUAUUGCUAUCAAUUCACUAAAUGAUUUGUUGAAAUUAACUUUUGAGUCAUACCAAUUUCUAUAUGAAUUUUGAGAUGUAGUCAUAGAGGUAGAUUUCUCA